CUCAAGCAUGUUGUGCAAAUUGAUUCUCUGUUCCUCUGAACAUUGUUUUAUCAGUAUAUUGCAAUAUCUGCUAAUACCUUUGCCUUAAUACUGCAUCAUAUCUUCUGUAUUCUCAGCAUUACCCUCAUGAUUCACAUUACAGAUCAUCCUUGGCUGCAGAAUGCCAAUAAGGCACCCAAUGUAAAUCUUGGUGAAACUGUUCGAGCAAGACUCCAGCAAUUUUCAGUGAUGAAUAAAUUUAAAAAGAAAGCUCUUAGGGUGAUAGCUGAACAUUUGUCUGUGGAGGAGAUUGCCGACAUAAAGGAAAUGUUUGAGAAUAUGAAUA